UUCCUCCUGUUGUCAAAAUAGCUUUUCUAUCGACUUUGAGCAAUAAGUAGAUUCUGUUGGAUGAUAAAAAUCUUAUCAAUAAUCUUCUAGACUAGGUCAGAUCCUGAUAGAUGUGUCUUCCCAACUUUGUCCCAAUAGGAAGGAUAACAACAAGGUCUACCAUAUAAUGCUUUAUAGGGUGCCAUCCCUAUACUAGACUAAAAGCUGUUAUUG
rnacentral:lncRNA from 1 species